rnacentral:rRNA from 1 species
CGUGUAGGCGGCUUUUUAAGUCUGGAGUGAAAGCCCCAUUUUCAAGGUGGGGAGUGCUUUGGAGACUGGAGAGCUUGAGUGCGGAAGAGGUAAGUGGAAUUCCCGGUGUAGCGGUGAAAUGCGUAGAGAUUGGGAGGAACACCAGUGGCGAAGGCGACUUACUGGGCCGUAACUGACGCUGAGGCGCGAAAGCGUGGGGAGCGAACA